GGCUUUAUAUUCAAUGAUGAUCCUAGACUGCAAUUCUGGUGGUGUAAGUUAAACUACUAAGGCCU
rnacentral:tRNA from 1 species